GAUGAACGCUAUCGGCAGGCCUAAUACAUGCAAGUCGAGGGGUAGAGAGAGCUUGCUUUCUUGAGACCGGCGCACGGGUGCGUAACGCGUAUGCAACCUACCUUUAUCUGGGGGAUAGCCCGGAGAAAUCCGGAUUAAUACCGCAUAAAAUCACAGAAUAGCAUUAUUUAAUGAUCAAACAUUUAUGGGAUGAAGAUGGGCAUGCGUGUCAUUAGCUAGUUGGCGGGGUAACGGCCCACCAAGGCGACGAUGACUAGGGGAUCUGAGAGGAUGGCCCCCCACACUGGUACUGAGACACGGACCAGACUCCUACGGGAGGCAGCAGUAAGGAAUAUUGGUCAAUGGAGGCAACUCUGAACCAGCCAUGCCGCGUGCAGGAAGACUGCCCUAUGGGUUGUAAACUGCUUUUAUCCGGGAAUAAACCUUUCUACGUGUAGGAAGCUGAAUGUACCGGAAGAAUAAGGAUCGGCUAACUCCGUGCCAGCAGCCGCGGUAAUACGGAGGAUCCAAGCGUUAUCCGGAUUUAUUGGGUUUAAAGGGUGCGUAGGCGGCCUGUUAAGUCAGGGGUGAAAGACGGUAGCUCAACUAUCGCAGUGCCCUUGAUACUGAUGGGCUUGAAUGGACUAGAGGUAGGCGGAAUGAGACAAGUAGCGGUGAAAUGCAUAGAUAUGUCUCAGAACACCGAUUGCGAAGGCAGCUUACUAUGGUCUUAUUGACGCUGAGGCACGAAAGCGUGGGGAUCAAACAGGAUUAGAUACCCUGGUAGUCCACGCCCUAAACGAUGAACACUCGCUGUUGGCGAUACACAGUCAGCGGCUAAGCGAAAGCGUUAAGUGUUCCACCUGGGGAGUACGCCCGCAAGGGUGAAACUCAAAGGAAUUGACGGGGGCCCGCACAAGCGGAGGAGCAUGUGGUUUAAUUCGAUGAUACGCGAGGAACCUUACCCGGGCUUGAAAGUUAGUGAAUGAUCUAGAGAUAGAUCAGUGAGCAAUCACACGAAACUAGGUGCUGCAUGGCUGUCGUCAGCUCGUGCCGUGAGGUGUUGGGUUAAGUCCCGCAACGAGCGCAACCCCUAUGUUUAGUUGCCAGCAUGUAAUGAUGGGGACUCUAAACAGACUGCCUGUGCAAACAGAGAGGAAGGAGGGGACGACGUCAAGUCAUCAUGGCCCUUACGUCCGGGGCUACACACGUGCUACAAUGGAUGGUACAGAGGGCAGCUAGCCGGCAACAGUAUGCGAAUCUCACAAAGCCAUUCACAGUUCGGAUUGGGGUCUGCAACUCGACCCCAUGAAGUUGGAUUCGCUAGUAAUCGCGUAUCAGCAAUGACGCGGUGAAUACGUUCCCGGGCCUUGUACACACCGCCCGUCAAGCCAUGGAAGUUGGGGGUAUCUAAAGUAUGUAACCGCAAGGAGCGUCCUAGGGUAAAACCGGUAACUGGCG
rnacentral:rRNA from 1 species